ensembl:lncRNA
GGCUUAUACUCAGGGAAAAUGGGGAUAUCCAUUUAGAGAAAGGGCUGUGCACCACCUCAUCCAUGACGGCCACCUCAUCAGCAAGAAGAGCCAAUACAGUGGCUCCAUCACGCAAGGACUGGCCAUGCUGCACUCCCGGCUCCCAGAGCCCAGGACCUGGACUGUGCUGAGAGCAGGUGACUGGCAUUAAAGCUGUGUAAGUGCUUUUACCAGACUGACUGCUCUGGGCUCCUGGGGCUCCUGAUUGUAGUAAAAUAACCCCGUUUCUGGAGUGGGGCCUUGCUCCCUCCACCUCUCCACAGGAUGAUCUCACCACAGAGGGAAUGCUGGAGGAUCCUGGGCUCUCUCACUCAGUUAAUUCCAG